AUGAACAGGGUGUCAGUGAAUCAACGAGGUGGAUAUGGAGGAGGAAGAGGUGGUUACGGUGGAGGCGAUGGAUAUAAUGGCUACGGAGGGAAUGGUGGUUAUGGUGGAGGUGGACCUAAUUAUGGUGGCAACCGUGGUUAUGGAGGAGGCAGCGGAGGUGGUGGCGGCGGCUAUGGAAACCAGGGUGGAGGCUAUGGUGGUGGCGGCGGUGGCUAUGAUAACUACAACAAUGGUGGUGGAGGCAACUUCGGAGGAGGCAACUUUGGAGGUGGCGGAGGCUACAACGACUUUGGCAACUACAACAAUCAAUCUCCCUCUAACUACGGCCCAAUGAAGGGAGGAAACUACGGAAGUGGUGGAAGGAGCGGUGGUGGUGGUGGUGGCCCAUAUGGCGGCCACAGUACUUAGAGGAGAGCCAGAGAGAGAUGACAGGGAAAGGAGAGAAGCAAGCAGGUUUACACCUAGAUCUGCCCAGCCAAGCAGUGUGGUGGCGAUAUUAACGUCUGCCAUACGAAGAGAACUUGUUCAAUAGGGGAGGAAAAUCAUGUGGGAAUGGGGGUGGGGGGGUCUGAAGGUGUUUAAAAAAAAAAAAAGGAACGUUUCAAAAGUACUCUUGUCCUGGAAGACAUUUACUAGUUUGUAGUUUUCCCUUUUUUGUCUGUGAAGUGCAAAGCAUUCCAAUGAGAUUUUAUGCAGGGUUUAAUUGUUGUGUUGGCUUUUCUCUUGAACCAGUAGGGUGUCUGUCUUUUUUCUUUUACAUUUCUUUUCUUUUUUUUUUAAUGUGAACAGUCACCAAUCAAGAUUAAAUAAACCGCUCCAGUUUUUUUAUUUAAUUGUAUUC
ensembl:lncRNA